rnacentral:sRNA from 1 species
UUUAAAUAUAAUUUCUAAUUUAAUUUAUAUAAUUUAUUUAAAUUUGUAACCCGGGUUUGAAAAAAUGAGCAAAGAAGUAUCUUUUUAUUUUAUAUAUUAAUUUUAAACUUAAAUAAUUUAUACUUUAUACGGAGAGAGUUCGUAUUAUAUAAAUAUUAUAUAUUUUAUUUCUAUGGCCUUUUUACAUUUGUAAAAAUACCUAAAGCCGAAUUGUAAAAUUCAAUUGUUUGUUAUUUAGGUACUUUUGGGCUCAGUUUUCCAAUCGCGAUAGUGGCCCACGGUUUUGUCGAAAAUUACGGUUUUGAAACCCCCUCUUUAAGGGGGCCCACAACGAACAGCCCCCAAGUAUUCGGUUAAUUUUGUACGACUCUUAAAAUAAAAACCGUAAAAAUAUAUAUUAAAUAAAAAUUUAACUCAUAAUAUUUCUGGUUAAUAAACAAAAGGUAAAAAGUCUUCCUAAGGAUAAAAGAAUAAAAACAAAGCUACAAAUUCUUUUGAAUUAAUAUUUAAAGGCCUUUAUCUUUAUAUAUUCUUUUCUAAAGAAUUUCCAUAGUAAAAUUUAACUAAUAAAAUCUUUCAAUAAAUCUUUAAAUAUAAAUGAUUUCGCAAUUAACCCCAGACAAAUUCGUGAAUUUGCUUUUAUUUUCUUAUUAUCAGUAACGCUUUUUUAUUUUUUUUUAUUUAUUAACCAGAAAAUUAUAAAUUAAAAUUUAAUUUAAUAUGCGUUUUUAUAAGUUCCAUUUUAAAAAACCGUAUAAAAUUAACCAAAUAUAUUAUAAGCCCAAUUUCAAAUUCUAAGAAGCAUUUAAAGCUUAAUUUAUUUAAUGGGUUUCACCCUAUAUUUAUUGCAUUUUAACUCGAAUUUUCAAUAAUAAGAAUAGCAAAUAUGUAUUAUUUUUAAUAUUUCGAUUAUUAUUAACGUUAUUAUUAGUAAUAUACGUGCUAACAGGGGGUAUAGGUGGUAGUCCUAGGUACGGCGUGGUAAAUAACCAGUGUUAAAAAACGGUAAAUAUACUAAAAUAUGGAACGUUGUACGCAAUUGGACAAUAAUAUGUUAGUGGGAAGAUUUUACUUUGUCCUUUUUUAUAUUUUCCGACAUCGAAGUGGGGCUCGGCACGCCGAAAAGGUUUCCGGUGCCGCAAAUAAAUUUCCGAAAAAUUAAUUUGUAUGGGUUUAAUAAAAAACACUCUUAUUUGCUAACAACCCAUUUUUAAAUUCGCACGCAACUGUUAAUUUGGUAAAUUUUUUAACCCGGUAAAGGGUAAUUAAUUCGCAGAUGCAGGGUGGGUAUUAAACCCGGUGCAAAAUAAACAAUUCCACUCGCCAACCUUUAAAUUGCAAUUCCUGCAUUUAACAAAUUAACGGAAUUCCAACCACCCCAUUUUGUAAUUAUAUGUAAUAAGCUAUAUAUAAACAAAAGUGGGUUUAUUACAUGCAAAAUAAUGCAUAUAAUUAACAGUUCUGAAAUAGGUAAACAGUUUAAGCGGUAACGCACUGUACCGAAUAUUAUAAUAAAAGGAUUAAUUUUAUUAUUAAUGGAAUUAUAAAAUUAUAUUCGGAAUUGGAUUUGAAAACCGAUUAUACUAGUAAAACGUUACAACCUCAAAUAUUAAAAAUUGAUUUUAAAAUUAAAACGAAAUUUGAAAACGGCGUAAAUAGGAAUUCAAAACCCAGAAGGUUAAACUACCUGGGUUUAUAUAAUAUAAAUAUUAUAUAUUAUAUUUUUGCAAAUAAAUUAACCUUUACUAAUUAUAUCGCCGGUUUAAUAACUAAAGUUAAUAUUGAAAAUAAGUUAAUUAGGUUUAAUAAUAUUGGAAUUAUAAAAAUAAAAAUCUGGCAUAGCCCUAAAAAUAACAAAUUUAUCAAAAUUGCCUUAAAUAGCGUAUUAAAUAUCCUUUCGUUUCAAAUAAAUAUUAUUAAUAAGUUAAUAUAUUAUAAUAUACGGACGUAUUAUUAGAAAAUACCUUAUAUAAUAGGGAUUUUAAAACCUAAAAACGACUAAAUAUCGUUAAAAGUUUCUUUUGUUUGGAUGUAAAAAAGUGCGGUAUUUUUAUUGGAAAUAAAUUUGCGGAUUCGAAUUACGCUUAUAUAAUUAAUAAAUAUAAUACUGUUUAUAAUUAUAUUUUAUAUAAGGUUUUGAAAGGUUAUUUAACGACGUUGGAAAUAAAAUUAAAUAAUUUAAUCCCUAAAAAUUAAACCGAUGGUAAAUUUUAUACCCAUUCCGAACCGGGAAAAGAAAAUAAAGGAAAACCCAAAUCCCAAACAAAAGAAAAAUAUAGCCGUAAAUUUGUUUAUAAUUCAAUAAUUUAACGCAAUACAAUUUUAAAUUCCACUGAAAAUUAAACCCCGUAAAUUUAAUAAACCGUAAAACUUCUUUUUAACAUUACCAAAUUUGAAAAGAGUUAAUUUCAAAUUGAAAAAAAUUUCCGUUAUAAGAAGUCCGUUGUGAAAACCUCUUUUAUUACCGGAUUAAACAUUAAGAUCCGUAAAUUAUUUCCUAUCAAAUUCAAGCUUAUUUUCCAAUAAUCAAAUUAUGGUUAGGAAAACGAAAUGAUAAAUAAGUUUAACAAAAUCCAAAUUUCAAAAAACCAAAUAUAAUAUAAACGUUAAAAUUUAUAAAAUUAUUAUUAUUUGAACACAACCGUUAAAAGCGCAAACGGCCUAUAUAAUUCUAACAAAAUUAGCGUUAAUAAUUAUAUUAUUUGCUUUAAAACCAACUGGAGGAAAUAUAUAAAUAAAACAGCAUAUUUUAUAUUUGUUAAUACAUUUGAUUUUAAAAAAGAUGGUAUUAUAACUUUUAAUUUUAACUUUUGUAAAAGAAAUUUGCUUUUUUACUAUUAAUAAAUUAGUAAUUAGGGUUUCCGUGGUCGAUUAUAAUACGAAAUAAAACCGGAUUUAUAAGUUUAAUAACUUUUAAUUCUUUCUAAAUUUUAAAAAGUGCGUACUGUUACGGAUUCGUGCUAAUUGCACGUAUCUCCGUAUAAAAGUAGCAGCGGGGAUCACGUGACAAUCUAUAUUAUAUAUAAAGGAGGGAGGGCCGCCAAAACCUUCUCCGUACCCCUUUCUUUCCUUUUCCCUUAGCGUAAUAAUAACUCCUUUCGCGUACCCAACCGUCGUAUGGUCGUUGGCCUACCCUAUAACACGUACAGGCGUUACCCCAUUAAUUUUUACUUUAAUAAGGGGAUAAAAUUAAAACUAAAUAUUAGAAAUUAUUUGCAACUAGAAAUAGCUUAACUUGAACACUUCUAACCAUUAUAUGUACGGCCAAAGUAACUUAACGGAACGAUCCGUUAAACUAUUCUGCAUAAAUUCAAAUUUACUAUUAUAACAGUCAAUUUAAUUUUUAUUUAUAAUAUCAAUUAUUACCGGCCGUGGUUAAUUUAAUUAAGUAUAUAACGGUAAUAAAUAGGGAACUUAUAUUUUACAAGGAAAUUUAUUCCGCAACUUAUUUUGAAUUGUUAUAUAAAUCUAAUUUAGGUCAUUUUCGGAUUAUUAAUACCGUAUACCAAGUUAUUUUACCGUUGGAAAAACGCCAGAAAUCUUAUAAAUUGGUUCCUCGACCGAAAUAAUAAAGUCUUUAACCUAUUUAUCCAAUUUUAUAACGUUGGUUUACACUCCCGUUAGGCGGGCCGUAUAUAAAAUAAUUACUAUAAAAUUUUUAAAAAAUAUAUCCGUUGAAAAUUGGUUAUUUUAAGGGAAAGGUUGUGAAUUUUUAAAAGAAAAACUCCAAAUUCAAAAAGGGAUUCUAAUUUCAAAUCAAAUAACAAAGUUAAUUAUAUUAAAAAUUUGAAUUUGACAAAUAAUUAUCUUUUACCACCCGUUACAAGGGAUUUAACCGCUAUUAAUACUUUGUUUUCCAGGUUAAUAUAAUUUAUUAUUUGCCCCCCCCUUAGUUUAUAACGGUAGCGGUGCCUAAUUUAACAUUUAAAAUAACCGAACUUCUGGUAUUUUAUAUAUUUAAAAUACAAAAUAUAAAAUGGAAUUUGCAGUUCGAAACUCCAAAUCCAGUAAAUAUUAAAUACAUAUAUCAUUUUUAUUAUUUUACCUAAAGAAAACCCAUAAAUAGCAGUAAAAUAAAUAACUGUUAGUAGGUUUUAAAACACCCUAAAUAUAAUAUAUUAUUAGCAGUUUUAACGUCUAAAUUCGACCAAAUUAAUAUUUCAAAAGCCUUCCGCUUCAUUUUUAAAAUUAAAAUGUUUAUAAACAAUGUAUUAAUUUUUACCCGGCCGACAUUUAAAUUAAAAGAAUACCAAAAUAAUAAAUUUAUAAAAUUCAAAAUUAUAUUUGUUCCUAGGCGGUUUUUAUAGGUCGAAAACCUGGAUUAUAUUAAAAUUCUUGCUAAUAUUAAUCUACUAUUUACCGGGCGUAUAUUAUUAAUUAUAAUUAAUAUAUAAAACUGGGAAAUAAAUAAAUUAAUCUUAUUAAUGCGUUUUUCAAUAGUAAUUUUAUACUUAUAAAAGUUUAUUUGCAAAUUUUAAAAGGUUUUAGCAAAUGGGUUACACUUUGCAAAUUUAUAAUGGUUCAAACUUUGAGAAAAAAUGGGGUAUAAUCCGAAAACAAAACAAAUUAUACAAUUGGGAAAAAUAUUCAACGGUUUGAAAUAAAACCUAAAAAAACGUAAAUAAAAUUAAAAAGCUAAUUAUUUAUAAAAUGUUUUAAACCGCUAAUUUUAAAUUCUGUUGUUCUUUAUAAUAAUGAAUAUAAAUAUUCUAUUAGUAUCUUUACUAGUAAUUUACCUGUUAAUAAAUUAUAAACUGCAAUAUAUUUGAAACUUUAAAAACCCGUUUUGACAAAAUGUACGUAUUAAAAAAUUAAAGUUCUACAAUUUAAUUUUUAGGCGUUUAAAUUAUAAAAAAUAAAUUCGACUGCCUGUUUUAAUUUUAUUAAAUUUAGUAAAUAACGAAAUAUUUGCAAGGUUUAAAUUAAUUAAUUGCAAACCUAAUUUUAUCUUCUUAUAACCAAAUAUAUAAACAGGUAUAACAGGGGAAAAUCUGUAAACACGUUAAUAAUUAAAUUGUUAUAACGUAUAAUUAGUAUUUUGAUAAUUUCGUAUUAUUAAAGAACCCGGAUUUUGGUUUUGCAAUUUAAUAAUUAUGUUGUUUUUAAUAACAUUUCUUACAAUCCAUGUAACGGUAAUUAAAAUUUCAUUUUGCUAUUUAGCAAAUAUUAAAUUUCUAACAAUUUAUUACGGAAAUAAAAUAGUUUAUAUUAAUUCACCAUGUUAAUUUCAAUUAGGGGCUUUAAAAAUUUGAAAUUAUUUGGCUUUAACAACAGCGAUUUUGCACAGGUUAGAAAAGUUUAAUACCCAUUUACGGAUAUUUAUAUAUUAUAUUUGGGUGUUUCAUUACGUGGAAAUUGAAAAGAAAUAAUAUUAUAAUUUCCAUUACCCCAGAAACUGAAACUAAUAUUUUAACAGAAACCUUGCGUAAAAUAUAAUAAUUUAGAAAUAUAUUUACAAAAAUUGGAUUAUUUGUAAAAGAAUUUAUUGCGAUUUCUAAAAAUAAUAUAAAUUUUAUAAUUAACGUAUAAAACUUUACGUCUUAUUAGCGUAAUAUAUAUAUUUUAUUCAAGUUUAACCACGUACGGGAAUUAAUAGUAAAAACAUUAAUAAUUUUAAAAUAUUUAAAAUUUAAACACAUACCCGUUAAUAACUUUACGAAACCGCUAACAUUUCUAAUUUACAAAUUCUUUCUAAAAUUUAUGAGAUUAAAACUUUUGUAAAUUUAAUUUUUCCUAUCUUAUUUUAGCGUACUUAAUUAAUUCGUUUAAUAAUUACUUUUAUUUGUUUUAAUUUCCAAUUGUUAAAUUCUUGUUAUAAAAUACCAAACGUUUUAUAUAAGUUUGCUUUAUGUAAAAUAGUUGAUAAACUCUUUAUACCGAUUUUAUAUCGAAGAUCAAAUCCGGAUUAAAACAAUACGCGUUUUGGGCGAUUUACUAAUUUAAAAUACCCAAUAUAUUAUAUUUGUCUGGAAUUUCGAACAACGAAUAACCAAAUUAAUUAACUGGCCUAGUUAUAAAUUUAAUUUAUUAUUAUUUGUAAAUCGUUAGCUCCAAUUUGGGAGUUAUUAUAAUUUUCAGGGGUUUUUCCAAUUCGGGGAUUCGUCGAAUUUGGAGUCUAAUUCAAUUAAAAGGUUCGGCACAAAAAAUUUAAUUAUCCGAAGGGUUAAUAUCGGGGGUUGGAAUUGGGUUGGGAUAUAAAUGGAAACUUCUUUUUUUGAUUUCUUUUCUUAUUUUAUCCGUGGGUAAAUAAUAAAAGAAGGGGUGUUAAUUAUAUAUAUUGUUUUAAAUAUUAUAAAAUUACUUUUAUUUGUAUAUAAUUGAUUAUAUAUAAUGCUGAAAUCGGGUUGUUGGAAUUCCGUUAACUUAUUAUAUAUAGGAAUUGCGAUUUAAAAAUUAACAAAUGGGAUUAAAUACCUUAUA